rnacentral:rRNA from 1 species
GACGAACCGUACAAACGUUAUUCGGAAUUACUGGGCUUAAAGGGUGCGUAGGCGGCCCGGGAAGUUGGGUGUGAAAUACCUCGGCUUAACCGAGGAAUGGCGCUCAAAACUGCCGGGCUAGAGGGAGAUAGAGGUGAGCGGAACUUAGGGUGGAGCGGUGAAAUGCGUUGAUAUCCUAAGGAACACCGGUAGCGAAAGCGGCUCACUGGGUCUUUUCUGACGCUGAGGCACGAAAGCUAGGGGAGCGAACGGG